UGGAGGCAGCAGUGGGGAAUCUUCCGCAAUGGACGAAAGUCUGACGGAGCAACGCCGCGUGAGUGAAGAAGGUUUUCGGAUCGUAAAACUCUGUUUUCAGGGACGAAUGUGCAGAUUGUAAAUAAUGAUUUGUAAUGACGGUACCUGAGUAGAAAGCCACGGCUAACUACGUGCCAGCAGCCGCGGUAAUACGUAGGUGGCAAGCGUUGUCCGGAAUUAUUGGGCGUAAAGCGCGCGCAGGUGGGAUAUUAAGUCUGGUGUUAAAGUUCGGGGCUCAACCCCGUGAAGCAUUUGGAUACUGAUAUUCUUGAGUGCAGGAGAGGAAAGUGGAAUUCCUAGUGUAGCGGUGAAAUGCGUAGAUAUUAGGAGGAACACCAGUGGCGAAGGCGACUUUCUGGACUGUGUCUGACACUGAGGCGCGAAAGCCAGGGUAGUGAACGGGAUUAGAUACCCCGGU
rnacentral:rRNA from 1 species